rnacentral:rRNA from 1 species
GACGAACGCUGGCGGCGUGCUUAACACAUGCAAGUCGAACGGAAAGGCCCUGCUUUUGUGGGGUGCUCGAGUGGCGAACGGGUGAGUAACACGUGAGUAACCUGCCCUUGACUUUGGGAUAACUUCAGGAAACUGGGGCUAAUACCGGAUAGGAGCUCCUGCUGCAUGGUGGGGGUUGGAAAGUUUCGGCGGUUGGGGAUGGACUCGCGGCUUAUCAGCUUGUUGGUGGGGUAGUGGCUUACCAAGGCUUUGACGGGUAGCCGGCCUGAGAGGGUGACCGGCCACAUUGGGACUGAGAUACGGCCCAGACUCCUACGGGAGGCAGCAGUGGGGAAUAUUGCACAAUGGGCGGAAGCCUGAUGCAGCAACGCCGCGUGCGGGAUGACGGCCUUCGGGUUGUAAACCGCUUUCGCCUGUGACGAAGCGUGAGUGACGGUAAUGGGUAAAGAAGCACCGGCUAACUACGUGCCAGCAGCCGCGGUGAUACGUAGGGUGCGAGCGUUGUCCGGAUUUAUUGGGCAUAAAGGGCUCGUAGGUGGUUGAUCGCGUCGGAAGUGUAAUCUUGGGGCUUAACCCUGAGCGUGCUUUCGAUACGGGUUGACUUGAGGAAGGUAGGGGAGAAUGGAAUUCCUGGUGGAGCGGUGGAAUGCGCAGAUAUCAGGAGGAACACCAGUGGCGAAGGCGGUUCUCUGGGCCUUUCCUGACGCUGAGGAGCGAAAGCGUGGGGAGCGAACAGGCUUAGAUACCCUGGUAGUCCACGCUGUAAACGGUGGGUACUAGGUGUGGGGUCCAUUCCACGGGUUCCGUGCCGUAGCUAACGCUUUAAGUACCCCGCCUGGGGAGUACGGCCGCAAGGCUAAAACUCAAAGGAAUUGACGGGGCCCCGCACAAGCGGCGGAGCAUGCGGAUUAAUUCGAUGCAACGCGUAGAACCUUACCUGGGUUUGACAUGGAUCGGGAGUGCUCAGAGAUGGGUGUGCCUCUUUUGGGGUCGGUUCACAGGUGGUGCAUGCCUGUCGUCAGCUCGUGUCGUGAGAUGUUGGGUUAAGUCCCGCAACGAGCGCAACCCUUGUUCACUGUUGCCAGCACGUUAUGGUGGGGACUCAGUGGAGACCGCCGGGGUCAACUCGGAGGAAGGUGGGGAUGACGUCAAGUCCUCAUGCCCCUUAUGUCCAGGGCUUCACGCAUGCUACAAUGGCUGGUACAGAGAGUGGCGAGCCUGUGAGGGUGAGCGAAUCUCGGAAAGCCGGUCUCAGUUCGGAUUGGGGUCUGCAACUCGACCUCAUGAAGUCGGAGUCGCUAGUAAUCGCAGAUCAGCAACGCUGCGGUGAAUACGUUCCCGGGGCU